GCCAAUUUCCUUGACCCUAUGGACCUGUCCUACUACAGAUCUAGUCAACCAAGCUUUCAGCAUCACAUGUUAUAAAAUCUAGAUGGUCUUGAUGAACACAAGUGAAGCAUCAGAGUGGGACUGGUGAUUUACAGUGUUAGUUCCCAGGCGAUACUGAUGCCGCUGGUCCUGGGGACACAGACAGUGCCCAUCCAAGGCAGAGGUCUGGAAUGUGGCUCUGGAGUCAUCUCUCAUGGUUAAUGCCAACGGCAGCCUAAUGGCAGAUCAAAUGAUGAAGCAAGGCCAUUCACCAGCUUAAAUCUGAUUUGUCUUAAUACAGCAUUUUACCAAGGAAAGCACCAAGGGGCCUCUGUGUU